CUCUACAGCUCUGGUGUUACACUGAAAAACUAGAAGUUUCAAAACAGACAAGGGAAAAAGAGAAACAUCAGAAAGUCUGAUUAAAGUAGAAGCAUCAUAUUUCUAUCAACGUAUCCACUGUGCUUGGACUCUGUAAUAUUCACCGGCAGGAAAACCCAAGGGAAUGACUACUAUGACAUCUGAUGAGUCUCACGGUGUUGCCCAGGCUGAAUACAAUCGUGCAAUCAUGACUCUCUGCAGACUUGACAUCCUGGGCUCAUCAAGCAAUCCUCCUGCCUCAGCCUCCCGAAUAGCUGAGACUACAGG
rnacentral:lncRNA from 10 species